GAGACAUUCUCUUGGCUUUCAAGAAACAGCACCACUCGCGUUCCACCUACCUGGCAAUGUCUGUCCUUUCCAAUUUCUAUUCUGUCCUUUUCAUUAGCCUCUUUCUUUCCCUUUUCACUUUCCUAUAAACUUCAGUCAGCAUCCACAAGGGGAAGAGACAAGAACAAGUGAUGAAUCCAAGGUCUCGUACUGCUGGCCAGAGUACUUUCAAGAUGGCCCAAGCUCAUUUAACUUCCGAAGCAUCCACUUGGUUCUCAAGAAAUUCCUGAGUCCUUGUGGGGCAAUCUGUUUUUGCCUUGCCAUCACGUGCUGCUCCAGCCAGACUCCUACCUUCAGGAUUCUCCAGAUGAGAGGCAGAUCCAGUGUUUGUGACUGUUCCCCAAAGCCUAGCCAGAUCUUCCCACUGCCAAACCCAUCCAACCUUCACCGGUCUGGUCCAUUCUUCCUCUUUCGGACUCCUAUCAAGGAACACCUCCUUCUCUAAGUCUAAUAUUAUUCUCCCAAGAAGAGUUAGUUGCUGGAUAAUUUUUGCCUCACCGUGCAUGGCUUUCUCCUCUUCGUGGAAUCUGCCACACUGUUUUGACAUAAGAGAGCUGUUAAAGUGACCACGUCUCCAGGGGUCAAGCCUGUGGAGAAAGGGGAGCAGCAAGAGGUAUUCUUCGAAUUCUGAAGCUACAAGGGACAGGAGGCCAUAAAACCAAAAAGAAGGCCUCUGGAAAGCAAAGCAAGGCAUUUCUUCAGCCUCAAGGUACUGAUGUGGGUAGAUUCAGGACCCACCAGGACCCACCCAGUAGGAGGCCCCUGUGGAUGCACCAAUUUCAAGUAUGAAACUCUGUAGGCUUACACCCUAGUAGCAGAGGUGAACUAGCCAUGAACCAAACCUUACGAGAUUCACUGCCCUGUUCUGAUUCAGUUUAGUCCUAGAGGACAGGAUGAACCUUUUCAGAAGGAAAAUAAUAUAUGGAGACUAUGUAUAUAUUUUUACAGAUAAUACCUGACACUCAAUAAAAUGUUAAUAGGCGUGCCAAGAUACAGGGCAAUAACCUGAAAGAUAAGAUUGAACAAAAAAGAGUUUCACAAGUGAUUCAGAUAUUGGAGUUAGCAGAACAAAGACUUUAAAAUAACUAGAACUAACAUGCCUCCCAAAUAGAGGCAAAUAUGGGCAAACUAGGUGGGAGAUGGAGAACCUCACCAAAGUAUUGAAAUAUAUUUUAAAAAACUAACUAGAAAUUCUAGAAUUGAAAAAUAGAAUAACUGAGAUGAAAAAAUCAGCAAUAGAUAGUUUUAAAAAAGGCUGGACGCAACAGAAGAAAGGAUUAGUAAAGGUAGAUCAAUAGAAACUACACUGAAGCUCAGGAAGAAAAAGUGGAAAAUACAGGAAAAACACAAGGGACAUGAAGAUCUAGUGAUAAAGUUUUAUAUACAUGAAAUAGAAAUUCCAGAAGGAAAAGAUAGAGGUAAUGGGGCAGGAGAAUGUUUGAAGAAUUAAAAAACAUAGCAAGGAAAGAAAAUUACAGUGCAAUUUCUCCCUCAAAAUUUGUUAAGCUGAAGAGUUAUGAUUUGUACACUUUUCUGUAUAUAUGUUACCCUUGAAUAAAAAAUUUAAAAAGGCCAAAUACGUGUCUGACUCCAGCAAACUUUGAUAUUUUAUUCUGUUGACGUAUAUGUUAUCUACAAUAUUGAAAUUCUUGCCAUUCUAGCAUUUAACAGAGGAACUAAAACAGAACAGCAAAGGUUUUUAGUUUUUUAUUUUCUGAAUUAAAAAUUGUUUGUUUAAAAUUUUACAAUAUAAAAAGUAUAAAGUAGAAAAUGAAAAACUCUAAAAUCUCAUUGUGUGUGUGUCCACUUUCAUUUUUUCAAAC
ensembl:lncRNA